rnacentral:rRNA from 1 species
ACUCAUGGCGGACGGGUGAGUAACGCGUAAAGAACUUGCCCUUUAGACUGGGAUAACAGAGGGAAACUUCUGAUAAUACUGGAUAAGUUAGUAUAUCGCAUGAUAUACAAAUGAAAGCUACGGCACUAAAGGAGAGCUUUGCGUCCUAUUAGCUAGUUGGUAAGGUAAGAGCUUACCAAGGCGAUGAUAGGUAGCCGGCCUGAGAGGGUGAACGGCCACAAGGGGACUGAGACACGGCCCUUACUCCUACGGGAGGCAGCAGUA